ACACGUGUGCGGGCUGAGUCGCCGGGGCCUGGAGGGGGAACCGCGCGCUGCGGCUGCUGCGCUUGCUCCGUCCCCGGACGCCGCUGGCUUGCUUCCCUUGUCAGCUGUGUGGGGACUGGCAGAGGGUGUGAGAGCGGGAAACGACCGGACGAGCGGCGGGGAGCGUCCUGGGUGAGGAGGAGGAAGUCUGGUCUUAGGUGUGAAGGAUGCUGACGCGUUCCGGCGCGUCGCGGUGCCACUCUCGGCUUCUGAGCGUUGCCCUACGCCGCAGCGGGUUUUCCUCAGCUGUGAAGCGCGGCUGCGUCCUGCCCGGGCUUCCCCCCGCCGGGACGGUUCCAACGCCCGAGCCCAGCGGGCUUGGGCCUCCGCUGUCGGGCCAGGCUAGUUGCUCCGGGGCUGGGAGUUACGGCACCGGGGUUGGGGCGGAGAAGACGAACUAGUUCAACUCGACCCGGUUAAGCAAGCGCAGCAGUGUGUGUUCUUGGAUCAUAGUAUUUCAUGUAAACAUUUUGAUUUAAGAGAAACAAAAGGGAAAAUAUUAACCGUUUUCAAGCAUCCAAAGGCGAAAUGCUUCAUCUCUGGGAUGGAGUAGAGGAGUAGCCUCUGCGGUUGAGUUGCAGUCGUGGGUGCAAGAAGCAGCGCUGAAGCAGAGUGCAGCCCCGGAAUAGGGCGGGAUGGAAUGGCCUGGGCAGUUCAGAAACCCGCGAGGAGUCCAGGGCGGAACAGAACACAGGUGUCAUGAAAACUACCCCUAAAAGCCAAAAUGGGAAAGGAAAAGACUCAUAUCAACAUUGUCGUCAUUGGACACGUAGAUUCGGGCAAGUCCACCACUACUGGCCAUCUGAUCUAUAAAUGCAGUAGCAUCGACAAAAGAACCAUUGAAAAAUUUGAGAAGGAGACUGCUGAGAUGGGAAAGGGCUCUUUCAAGUAUGGCUGGGUCUUGGAUAAACUGAAAGCUGAGCGUGAACGUGGUAUCACCAUUGAUAUCUCCUUGUGGAAAUUUGAGACCAGCAAGUACUAUGUGACUAUCACUGAUGCUCCAGGACACAGAGACUUCAUCAAAAACAUGAUUACAGGGACAUCUCAGGCUGACUGUGCUGUCCCGAUUGUUGCUGCUGGUGUUGCCACCCUACAGCCAGAAGAGAUAUGAGGAAAUUGUUAAGGAAGUCAGCACUUACAUUAAGAAAAUUGGCUACAACCCCGACACAGUAGCAUUUGUGCCAAAUAAGCGCUGGCUAUGCCCCUGUAUUGGAUUGCCACACGGCUCAUACAGUUGCGGUGGGUGUCAUCAAAGCAGUGGACAAGAAGGCUGCUGGAGCUGGCAAGGUCACCAACUCUGCCCAGAAAGCUCAGAUGGCUAAAUGAAUAUUAUCCCUAAUACCUGCCACCCCACUCUUAAUCAGUGGUGGAAGAACGGUCUCAGAACUGUUUGUUUCAAUUGGCCAUUUAAGUUUAGUAGUAAAAGACUGGUUAAUGAUAACAAUGCAUCGUAAAACCUUCAGAAGGAAAGGAGAAUGUUUUGUGGACCACUUUGGUUUUCUUUUUUGCAUGUGGCAGUUUUAAGUUAUUAGUUUUUAAAAUCAGUACUUUUUAAUGGAAACAACUUGACCAAAAAUUUGUCACAGAAUUUUGAGACCCAUUAAAAAAGUUUAAUGAGAAAAAAAAAGAAAAA
rnacentral:lncRNA from 1 species